AAAUCAUGUUAGGAGGGCAUCCUCUGAUUAACUGCUUGAAUCUCUCCUAGGCUUCAUAGAGGGAUUCUCCUUCUUUCUAUCUGAAGGUCUGGACUUUCACUCUAAGCUU